CCUGGAACUCCGAGCCUCCAGCUCUGCUCGCGGUGCCCCCCAAGGCUGAGGUUUCAGUCUGCAGUCUGCUGAUCCGAAAGAAAGAAGGCGGCUUUUGGAGGACAUAAUCAUUGCAAGUCGAGCUGCUGCUGAACCUCCCCUUCCAACAUCCAGCAGGUUUGUUCUGCAGGCCCCGAUGAUGGCACAGGCAUGAAAGAGCCCAGAGCUCGUCGCUGGGGAGAGGCUGCGUAUGGCGUUGUGAAGGGAGAGAUGGAGGAGGGGUUUGAGCAGCGCUGUGCAAGAAUGAACGGCUGGUAAGAGAAGAGGCAGGAGUCGGGCAGCGGUACUGCAGCUCCUCUGGCAGCUUUGCAGCUCAGUUGGGAAGCAGAAGAUGUGGAUGUGAAAGAAGAAGUCCGUUGCUGGGACGUUCCCCUGUUCUUCCCCCAGCUGUCCCCUUGCCUCAGCCUGGAUUCCCCUUGUGUUACUGUAGGAUUUCCUUCCAUCCCCCUAGCUGCCCCUUGCUUUCCACAAGGCUGCCCUUUCCUUUCUCAUGACAGCCCACCCAUCAUUCCCUCAGAGCCCCAAUGUCCCCCCCGGUGUUUCCCAGCAAGACCCCUAGAGACACCCUGUAGCCCCCCACAGAGCCCCAUAGCCCCUCAAG
rnacentral:lncRNA from 1 species